AAUAUUGGGACAUAUAAAAAAAAAGACAACUCUGUUCCAUAGAGUAGCUGUUGACAUUAUAGUUGCGCAGGCACUUUGUUGACUCUAGAGAACCUCGGGCCAAUCGCACAUCCCUGUGACGGCGACUUUGCAUUCGGAUGUCAUCCAUAUCAACUUUCGAUGCCAGUUUAUGCGCCUACCAUGGUGACCACGGGUAACGGGGAAUCAGGGUGCCAUUCCAUACAGUGACCCUGAGAAACGGCUACCACAUGCAAGGAAGGCAGCAGGCGCGCAAAUAACCCACUCCCGACGCUGGAUGGUAGUGA